rnacentral:rRNA from 1 species
CAGAGGGGGAUAACGUUUGGAAACGAACGCUAAUACCGCAUGAUAUUAUUGAGCUGCAUGGCUUGAUAAUCAAAGGAGCAAUCCGCUGAAAGAUGGGCUCGCGUCCGAUUAGGUAGUUGGCGGGGCAACGGCCCACCAAGCCGACGAUCGGUAGCCGGACUGAGAGGUUGAACGGCCACAUUGGGACUGAGACACGGCCCAGACUCCUACGGGAGGCAGCAGUGAGGGAUAUUGGUCAAUGGGGGAAACCCUGAACCAGCAACGCCGCGUGAGGGAAGACGGUUUUCGGAUUGUAAACCUCUGUCCUCUGUGAAGAUAAUGACGGUAGCAGAGGAGGAAGCUCCGGCUAACUACGUGCCAGCAGCCGCGGUAAUACGUAGGGAGCAAGCGUUGUCCGGAUUUACUGGGUGUAAAGGGUGCGUAGGCGGCUUUGCAAGUCAGAAGUGAAAUCCAUGGGCUUAACCCAUGAACUGCUUUUGAAACUGCAGAGCUUGAGUGGAGUAGAGGUAGGCGGAAUUCCCGGUGUAGCGGUGAAAUGCGUAGAGAUCGGGAGGAACACCAGUGGCGAAGGCGGCCUGCUGGGCUCUAACCGACGCUGAGGCACGAAAGCGUGGGUAGCAAACAGGAUUAGAUACCCUGGUAGUCCACGCUGUAAACGAUGAUUACUAGGUGUGGGUGGACUGACCCCAUCCGUGCCGGAGU